rnacentral:rRNA from 1 species
UACGGAGGGGGCGAGCGUUGUCCGAAGUUACUGGGCGUAAAGCGCGCGUAGGCGGGAGUUUAAGUCCGCUGUGAAAGCCCGGAGCUUAACUCCGGAGGGUCGGUGGAGACUGGACUUCUUGAAGGGACUAGGGGGAGAUGGAAUUACCGGCGUAGCGGUGAAAUGCGUAGAUAUCUGGAGGAAUACCGGUGGCGAAGGCGGCAUCCUGGACCGACAUUGACGCUGAACGGCGAAAGCUAGGGGAGCAAACGGG